rnacentral:rRNA from 1 species
CCAUGCCGCGUGCGGGAAGAAGGCCUUCGGGUUGUAAACCGCUUUCGGCCGGAACGAAAUCGCCCGGGUGAACAUCCCCGGGUGGAUGACGGUACCGGAAGAAGAAGCACCGGCUAACUACGUGCCAGCAGCCGCGGUAAUACGUAGGGUGCGAGCGUUAAUCGGAAUUACUGGGCGUAAAGCGUGCGCAGGCGGUUUCGUAAGACAGGUGUGAAAGCCCCGGGCUUAACCUGGGAAAUUGCGCUUGUGACUGCGAGGCUGGAGUGCGGCAGAGGGAGGUGGAAUUCCACGUGUAGCAGUGAAAUGCGUAGAGAUGUGGAGGAACACCGAUGGCGAAGGCAGCCUCCUGGGCUAGCACUGACGCUCAUGCACGAAAGCGUGGGGAGCAAACAGGAUUAGAUACCCUGGUAGUCCACGCCCUAAACGAUGGCGACUAGUUGUUGGGGUAGCAGUACCUUAGUAACGCAGCUAACGCGUGAAGUCGCCCGCCUGGGGAGUACGGUCGCAAGAUUA